UUACACCCGACUUGAAGUGAGCUUUGUACUCAUGAAGUGCUAGUCAGACUGCUGUUCUUGUUUUCAAAGUCCUGUGGUAUUCUGGGUCCCUCAUAAUGUUGAAUGACCUUUUCAAUUUCUAAAAAGGAAUCAUCACCCGGGAUUCUGAUGGGUUUAAAUAUAAUUGGUAGAUUCUUUGGGAGUAUCACCACCUUAAUAACAUUAAACCUUUAGUCCAUGAGCAUAGAAUGGUAUUUAUUUGGAUGUUGAGCUACUUCCACCAAGCAUUACAUUUUAGAAAAUAAGUUUUAUAAUUUUCUAUUUGCUAUUUAUUAUGUAUGUAUUGUAUAUUAUUAUUAUAUUGUUUAUUUUUCUAUAUUUAUUUUUUAAGUGUCAUUGUAAAUGAACUUUUUAAAUUGCAUUUCAGAAUUUUAUGAGAAAAAAGUUGAUUUUUUGAUUAUUAAAGUUAAGAGUUUUGUUUAUUAAUUUUUUCACUCCUGACCUUGGGAACACAUCUUCCUCUUGGGUACUUCCAGGUUUUGAAAAUCAUGAGUGCUGGUGCGUUGAACUUUGUAGGGCAGGAUGUCAUGUGGACCUAUAUUGUGAACUCAUUUGGGUUUCCCCAACUUUGCGAAAUGGCUUGGGGUCCAGGAACCACCUCUCUGACACAUGAGAUAGGGUUGAUCACUUCAGCCUGUGACAGUUGAGUGGCUGUGGGCCUGUGAGGAGGUUUGUGUGAGGUCUCUGUGUAUUAGAGCCCUGGGACUUCUCAGGUAUCGAUCUCCCCCAUGUCGAAGGCUUUCCGGUAGGUUCAGCAGUCAAGAAACCCUGUCAGAUGUCCUUAUCCACUUGUAGUAGAGACUGUAGGGAGCAGGAAGCCAUAAAUACAAGGCAAAUGGGCACUGUGUCAGGUGGUCACUGUUGACAGGGUGAGAGGUGGUGAAGGGUGCAGAGGUGUCCCUCUCUCCUCCUGUCUUGGUGCCUGUGGCAGCUGUCUCAGCCCAUGUGUGGGUCUGAGUCUGUUACCUUUCCCACCUUUAUAUGGGUGGUGGAGUCCUUGGUUUUGCCUCAGUAUCUGGUGCUGUGUGAGUCGGCCCUGAGGUCUG
rnacentral:lncRNA from 1 species